UACGAAGGGAGCUAGCGUUACUCGGAAUCACUGGGCGUAAAGCGCAUGUAGGCGGAAUUAUAAGUCAGGGGUGAAAUCCCAAGGCUCAACCUUGGAAUUGCCUUUGAAACUGUAAUUAUUGAGUAUGGUAGAGGAUAGUGGAAUUUCCAGUGUAGAGGUGAAAUUCGUAGAUAUUGGAAAGAACACCAGUGGCGAAGGCGGCUAUCUGGACCAUUACUGACGCUGAGAUGCGAAAGCGUGGGGAGCAAACAGG
rnacentral:rRNA from 1 species